CCGCCCGUCACAUCACGAAAGUGGGCUGUACUAGAAGUCGCCAAGCUAACCGCAAGGAGGCAGGCGCCUAAGGUAUGGCUCAUGAUUGGGUG
rnacentral:rRNA from 1 species